rnacentral:rRNA from 1 species
GACGGAGGAUGCAAGUGUUAUCCGGAAUCACUGGGCGUAAAGCGUCUGUAGGUGGUCAAAUAAGUCAACUGUUAAAUCUUGAGGCUCAACCUCAAAAUCGCAGUCGAAACUAUUCGACUAGAGUAUAGUAGGGGUAAAGGGAAUUUCCAGUGGAGCGGUGGAAAUGACGUAGAGAUCGGAAAGAACACCAACGGCGAAAGCACUCUGCUGGGCCGACACUGACACUGAGAGACGAAAGCUAGGGGAGCGAAUGGG